UACGUAGGGCGCAAGCGUUGUCCGGAAUUAUUGGGCGUAAAGAGCUCGUAGGCGGUUUGUCGCGUCUGCUGUGAAAACUCGAGGCUCAACCUCGGGCCUGCAGUGGGUACGGGCAGACUAGAGUGCGGUAGGGGAGAAUGGAAUUCCUGGUGUAGCGGUGGAAUGCGCAGAUAUCAGGAGGAACACCGAUGGCGAAGGCAGUUCUCUGGGCCGUAACUGACGCCGAGGAGCGAAAGCGUGGGGAGCGAACAGG
rnacentral:rRNA from 1 species